rnacentral:rRNA from 1 species
UACAGAGACCUCAAGCGUUAUCCGGAAUCAUUGGGCGUAAAGCGUACCGAUAGGUGGCUUACAAAGUCAGAAGUGAAAUCCUAAGGCUUAACCUUGGGAAUGUCUUUUGAAACUUGUAAGCUAGAGGGGCAAAGAGGAAGCUGGAACGAACGGUGUAGUAGUGAAAUGCGUUGAUAUCGUUCGGAACACCAAUAGCGUAGGCAGGCUUCUGGGUGCCACCUGACACUGCUAGGACGAGAGCGUGGGGAGCGAAUGGG